rnacentral:lncRNA from 1 species
UUUAUUACAUUUAUAGCUGUACAAUGAUCGUCACAACCCAAUUUUGUGAAAAAAUAAACAGUUGGUUCAACCCCCCCAAAAAAACAAUACAAUAAAAUAUUAAAAAUAAAAAACAUAGUAACAGGCUUACCAUGUCAGAGCUCAUAAAUUGCUAUCAUAUUUAUUAUCCCCCCUGGGGUUCUUAGGAUCUUGGGAGAUGCAUUUUAAAAAAAUUGUUUUCUCAGGCCUUUGGUGCAGAGAGCGCUGCUUUUUCAUCACGUUUAUCUGCUCCUCUUGUCCUGCAAGGGAGGUUGACUUGGGGUCAUCCAGGCCUUGAAUUUGGGUUCAUACCCUGGGUCCCCCACUCUGCAUCUUUUCAACCGCAGGCAAGUUUCUCCACGUUUUGAGCUUCAAUUUCCUCAAACUCCCAGUGGACCGCAGAACUUAGAUGUAUGCUCAGCCAAAUUUGAAAUAUAAAAGAGGCAUUAUUAAUUAAUUAUCAUGUCCGCAAAUGUUGAUGCAGUCCCAGUCGUGAGCCCCGCAGGAGCUGUGUAUAUUGGGGUGAGCUGGGGGAGGGGAAGGAAGUUCUGACUCCAGUCACUUCACAUUCUCCAAGACCUUCCUGAGGGGAAGGGCUUCCGAUUCGUGUAGGUCUCUAUCCUUACCUGAAAAAAAAAAAAUUCUUUUUUUUUGCUCCACUUUGCUACUUAUAUUCACUUCAGUCUACUACGAGUCAUAAAUUUCAUGUUUCAUUUUUACUCCAAAUUUAUAUUUAUUAAUUGAAAUAUCACAUUUUUGUCAUCAUAAAGAAAAUUCCUGUGAAAACUCUUUUCAUUGCUUUCCUGACCCAUAACAAGUUUUCAGUGUAAUAAAUACAAGCAACACGAUACUCCGAAUAUCUGUCUGCAGUGAAACAUGAAUAGCUUCUUUAGAAAUUGAAGUAUUAAAAGGUUAGAAGGACGUAGUGUUUGAGGGCUGGGAGAACCUCUUUUUCAUGAUGUGUUCUCAAAAGAAGAGUAACUUCCCUCUGGUCGCUGGGUUGUCGGUGGCAGACCUAGAGCUGGAACCCAGGGUUGCUGUUGCUUGAGCUUAUAGAGUCUUAGCAACUUACUGUCUUAGGAAUAAGCUCUGCUGUGUUUGCUCCCUUUUCUUUACUCUUUCUUCUUUACUGAAGACUCCUGGGAGUUCCCUGGUGGCCUAGUGGUUAAGAAUUCGGCAUUAUCACUGCUCUGGCUCAGGUUCAAUCCCUGGCUCAGGAACUUCUGUAUGCAUGGGUACCAGCAAAAAGAAACAAAAAAUAAAAAACUCCUGGAAGAACUCACACUUUAAAAUUAGGUAGACUGGAGUUCUCAUUGUGAUGCAUCGGAAAUGAAUCCGACUAGUAUCCAUGAGGAUGUGGGUUUGAUCCCUGGCCUAGCUCAGUCAUUGUGUGACUUAGUUUGGAGCCUCAUUCUAACUGGUUUCCUUAUAAGAAGUCAGGGUUUUUUCAGAUUCUUUUGCACUCCUCCUUGAAUUUAUCUGACAAGCCCAGCAGCAUGCUGCUGUGAAGGGCAGCGCAAGCCAGCCUUCUGAGAGUGGCCCCUGCCUCUGUCCCUCUACCUCCCCAUACCUGGCCCCAUCCUGAGCUCAGUUCCCAGGACACACCUCUGCUAUUGUUGUGCAUGCUGCUCCCUCACCUGGGUCAUUACUCUCACCCCAUUCACCAGGCUAACUCCUGGUCAUCCUUCAAAACCCAGCAGCCAUUUGACUGGGCCGUCAUCCUUAACAUUCAAGCUUCCAGAUGCCCUUGGUGAGUUAAUCAUUGAUUAUUAGCCCCUGGCACCUCCUCAUAUCUCUCAAAUCCAUCCCCCCCCUCCCCCACUGCCCCUCUCCUGAAGAUAGCUCUGGCUGUCUUCAUCUGUCAUCCAGAUCAUUCUAGCACCCUGCUGAGUGGUCCUUAGGUUUUCGAAUCAUCCAUCUCCAAGCUCUUCCUGACACCGCUCACUAACGGGAAGAUCUGAUCAGGCUCGACCUUUGCUCCAACCCCUUCUGGGAACAGCCCCCACGGCCCUCAGGAUGGCGUCCCUGCUGCGUAUCGGGGCUUCAAGGAGGCCCUUCCCAGUCUGACCGUCCUUAUCUUUGCAGGCACAUCCCUCACUGCUCUUCCAGAAUGAUACUCUGCUCCCUGACUCGACUGAGUUCAUUUCGGUCCCCCAAUCUUACUGCGUUGUUUUUCAGAUUUGGAAUUUUGCAGAUGCUUUUUGUUCUCUCAGGAAUACUUCUUUUUAAAAAAUUUUUUUAUUGUUAUUUCCCCAAUUUUGUUCUACUGUACGGCGUGGUGACCCAGUUACGCAUACAUGUAUACAUUCUUUUUUUCUCACAUUACCAUGCUCCAUCAUAAGUGACUAGACAUAGUUACCAGUGCUGCACAGCAGGAUCUCAUUGCUAAUCCACUCCGAAAGCAGUAGUUUACAUCUAUUAACCCCAAGCUCCCAGUCCAUCCCACUCCCUCCUGCUCCCCCUUGGCAACCACAAGUCUAUAGCAUACUUCUUAAAAAAAAAAAAUCUCUUUAAAGCCAAGUUUCCUUUUGCUUUAGUUGCAAAUUAGACAUUAUUUUUCCCAGAACUGCCCUGGGGACCUAAAGCAACCUACCCAGUGUGACCCUCAAUCGUGGGUCUUGACCUGUCUGAGUGCUCUCAAAGUACCUCAUUUGGCCCAUCAUAAUACAUGAUUUUAAUUAUUUGGGAUUUUUUUUUCUUUUGGUCUUUUUCGGGCCGCACCUGCGGCACAUGGAAAUUCCCAGGCUGAGGGUCCAAUCGGAGCUGUAGCUGCCAGCCUGCACCACAGCCACAGCAACGUGGGAUCCAAGCUACCUCUGUGAUCUACCUGCAGCUUGUGGCAACACUGAUCCUUAACCCACUGAGCGAAGCCAGGGAUCGAACUCGUGUCCUUAUGGAUACUAGUCAGCUUUGUUACUGCUGAGCCACAAUGGGAACUCCCAAGUUAUUUUAAUUAUCUUUUUGUUCCAUUUUAUCACUCACUAGGCCGGGAGCUCUGUGAGUGCAAGGACCCUGUCUGGCUUGUUAACCACUUCACUUCUACCACUGAGCACAAUGUUGAAAGAUAUAGGUGUAUAACAAUGUUUGUUGAAUGAAUAAAAGAAUGAACGUAUGACUAAGGAAGCCUCACGUGCCUGGAUUUGUGAGAAUAAGCAUCCUGUAUUAAAAAUCAUCACAACUGCCACACUUUUCCUGUCAUUUUUUCCCCCUUAUUUCUGUCUCUACCGUGAACUUUGAGUUCCUAGCAUAGCACCCAGAGCACGGUAGCUACUCACUAAAUGUUUGUAGAAUUAAUUAUUGUAAAGUUUGGGAGAGAAGGAUUUGCACAAAGAGAAAGAAAAUUGAAAACUGCAAAGAAACAUCUCCCCUAAAAGCUGGCUCUAGAGAUUCCGAUUAUGUGGCACUGAAAAUUCCUCCCUUUCCGUGAACGACUUCUCCUUUGGCAGUGUGUGUCCAAUCACGUCUGGCGCUGUAAUUCAGCAUGAUGUGGGCCAUAUUGGUAGUAAGAGCUAUACGAUUUGCCAUAUUAGUUCAUCCCUCUGCUUCAUUAAGCUCAGUGUGCUGCCUUUGGCAGUGGCUGGGCUUGAAUUUUGAUGUUUGGAGGAACAAAGCCCUUCAUAUCAGCCUGUGAGUCAGGUACAGGUUCCUUCUUUCCCAGGGUCCAAGAGUCCUCAUCUUUGCAGGUAAUCAGUAAGUGGCCCAUAGCACAGGGUUGUAUUAUCCAUGUGGGUUUGCUGAGCAGACAGUGUUCUCAGGUGUACUGGCAUGUCAGCCACCCCCUCCUGUCACGGCGUGGCUUCUGGGAGGUCAGAGUACAUUUGUGUUGCAAGAGUGCACAUUUCUGCACAGUCCAUCAAGAGAGCACCCACAGGUCAAAGGCAGAGGAGAGGGUGGAGCGGGAAUAAAGGAGGAACUAAUGGCCGUUGUUCCAGUUGUCUCGAUUAAGCUUGAAAAUAACCUCUCGGUGAGCAUUCCCAUUCUCAUGGGCAGCAGCCGAGGCUCAGAGAGGCGAACCACCUGCCUGAGACCACAAGACACGUGGCAAGUUAGGGACCCAUUUGCACCUAACUCUCUCGGAUCCCAGAGCCUGUCCCCACACUCAAGCCUAGACUAAGUUGCUCCCUACUGAUUGGGUGUCCUCUUGUUAAUUACCAAGUGAUACUUACACUGAAAGACAUCUUCCUACAGAUGCCAAGGGCAGCCCCAUCAUUGGAGGCUGCCUGUGCACCAGAAAGGAAUGAUGGGAGAUCACACGGUGGUGGCAGAAAGGGAGUCAGAAAAGCAGAGAAGCCCAGAUCUUUACCCGCUCCUGUCUGGGGUGUGUGGGAGGCUGUCCACCCGAGUCCUCCGCAUGGCUGAGAAGGACACAUUUCCCUUCCUUAAGGAGGAUGUCAGUUAGUCCAGUUUUUCCAGAUGUUUUGUGGUCUUUACAGAGGUAAGGAUUUUUAUGCAUAAAUCGAAGUGCAUUUUCAGAUUGUUGUUUGGAGCGGGUGCUCUGGUUUUGCACAUGCCCCAGAUCAGUGAGUAGUACCAUCGGCUCCGUUCACCUCCCAGGGGGCAUCCCCCACGUCAGACUUAGUAAGGCGGAUGCUCGUGAUGAAGGUAGUUACUCUCUGUCUGUCCACAAUUACAGAACACCAGGCAGUGUAUUCGAGACUUUCCUUGUAUUUUCUCACUCAGAGCAACCCUUUGAGGUAACUAUAUGAAAUCUCACAUUUAUAGAUGAGAAAAUAGAGAGUGGAGAGAUGAGACAGAGAGAGUCAAGACCAUAACCACAGAACUGAUGCUUGGAAGAGCCCCCGAGGUUCUGUAUCACCCAUCUAUCAGCAGACGUCAUGUGUGCCUUGCACACCCCUGCCAUGAGAUUGCUUUCACUCCCCUUUCCACCUGGAAAAAAAGUCCUUUCUCUCUCACCUGCCUGCCAAGUUUCACAGGAUCCUCUGAGACCCAGCUGGAUGGCACUUCCUGGAAGCUCUUCCUCAGGGGUUAAACUUUCCUUUCGCUCCACGCCGGGGUUAAACUUUCCUUUCGCUGUGAUUCUCAGCAUAUGAUUUUUUAAAAAGUUUAAUUCAGAUGAAGUUCUCCUCUCUUUCUUCCAUGUAUUAGGAUUGCACUGAUAGACUCUCUUCCAUGCUGGAUUGAUGGCAGGGACUAGGUCUUGUCCUUGAUUAUAUCUUCUCAAAGCUGGGCAGAGGAGAAUUUAUUAGAGUUUCUAGUGGGGAAAAUGGGAAGUGCCAUUAAUUACAUGACAACUCAGUGCAGUCAGAGAAUAAAAUGAGAAUGCAAGAGAUUUACGCUGUUGGUAAUACUCCCAUUUUGCAGAUGAGGAAACAUACUCUGAAAAGUUCACAGUUUGUUCAAAGUCACCCGUCAUGUAAAUGGAAGAGCAGGAAUUUUAAACUCAGGUCUCAGUGGUCCAGAGCAAAGGCCCUCUUUGCUAUAUUCUGCAUUUUUUCCAGCAGUGGCCAAUGGAGUAACACCUCAGUGAAAGCUCCUUUCCUAGGGCUCUGCUUCAUGUUUCAAAGUGGUAACAAUAUAUGUGAUUUACUUUGAUAAAGACUUUCUAUAUAAGCAUCAGAAAUUCACUUCCCUCGGAGUUCCCAUUGUAGCUCAGCAGAAACGAAUCUAACUAGCAUCCCAGAGGACGCAGGUUCAAUCCCUGGCCUUGCUCAGUGGGUUAAGGAUCUGGUGUUACCAUGAGCAGUGGUGUAGGUCGCAGACACAGCUUGGAUCUAGCGUUGCCGUGGCUGUGGCUGUGGCGUAGGCCAGCGGCUACAGCUCCAAUAUGACCCCGAGCCUGAGAACCUACAUAUG